rnacentral:rRNA from 1 species
UACGGGGGGUGCGAGCGUUGUCCGGAAUCACUGGGCGUAAAGGGCGCGUAGGUGGUUUGAUAAGGGUGUGGUGAAAGUCCGGAGCUCAACUCCGGAUCUGCCGUGCCGACUGUCAAACUCGAGGGCUGUAGAGGCAGACGGAAUUCCGGGUGUAGCGGUGGAAUGCGUAGAGAUCCGGAGGAAGACCGGUGGCGAAGGCGGCCUUCUGGUCCAGUACUGACACUCAAGUGCGAAAGCGUGGGGAGCAAACAGGAUUAGAGUA